rnacentral:rRNA from 1 species
GUCCGUAGGCGGUGUGGUAAGUCGAUAGUGAAAUCUCUGGGCUUAACUCAGAGGCUGCUAACGAAACUGCCAUGCUCGAGUGUGAGAGAGGCGAGUGGAAUUACGGGUGUAGCGGUGAAAUGCGUAGAUAUCCGUAGGAACAUCCGAGGCGAAAGCGGCUCGCUGGAUCACAACUGACGCUGAGGGACGAAAGCUAGGGGAGCAAACA